rnacentral:sRNA from 1 species
CCGGAAACAUAGUCCGCUGCGGUCAAC